CUAGCCGCCACCCUCUUCUUUUUCUCCCUGUCUUCUUCCACACGGCGUGCAGGAGGGAGCUCAGCUCCACCUCCCUGCCUGCUCUCUACCUCCCAUGGCCGACGGCCUCCACAGCGCAGCAGCCAUGGCCCGGCGUCCUCCCCUUCCUCCAAACGUGUAAGAGCAGGGCGCCCCUUCUUCCUCCCGCAUCACGGCAGCAAGCAGUUUCUCCAUGCCGAUCUCGCCCUGCAGCCAAGGACGCCCCCUGCCUCUGCUCCAAAUGGCGAGCUCCAUAUUUGCAUGGAGCCGAGCUCUCCCAUCUCCACCAGCCGGCUCCCCCUUCUUCUUCCUCCACCAGCAGCUCCUCUCUAUUUCCUGUACGUGCGCAGGGAGCAGAAGCUUUUUCUUCCACGGCGCCAUUUCUCCCAGCCGGCUCCACUUUCCCCUGCGCCCUACCUUUUUCCAUGGAAGCAGCAGGAGCUCCACCUCCCAUGGACGCCCAGAAAAAUCCCCCAAGCAAGCGCCCAGAAAUCCCAGCAGCCUCUCCAUGGCUGAGCUCCCUGUUCCCUCUGCUCUAGCCGACCAUCUUCCGCAGCACACGCCGACGCCACUCCCUCUGGUUUUACUUGAGCAGGGUGCUGCCACUCCAUGGCAUUUCCCCCUCCUCGUUGUCCAAAUUUCAGAGCCACGUCGAGGUGUCGUGGUGCCUCUCUAGCUCCUCCUUAAGCACCCAACAGCCCCUCCAUACAAUCCGUGGUCAACCCUUGCAGCAGAGUGUCACUGCAGUCCCGUGCCGUGCACGCUCUGCAAGUGUUCGAUGGAAUGCCCGUGGGAAAUUUGUGUUGUGCGCAGCAGCCCCGACAUCUCCACGCUCUGUCGGCUCGCUGUUUUGUGAAGCCAGUGGACAGCACGCCGUCGACGCCCGCCAUGUGCUCGCUGUUUUGCGCAGCCCAUCCGCGACGCCGUCGAAAACCGUGCUAGUGGUCGACGUCGUGCCUUGCCCGUUCGACAAAAUGCCGAGCCAUGUGGAUAGCCCAUGCGUCUAGCUACGACUCGUUCAGGUUGAUUGAUUUAUAAUAAUACCUAUGCUUUGGUUGAUGUCGGGCAGUGCAUGUAUAUAUGUGAAUGUGUGUAAUAUGUUUCGGCUAUACACGAUGGUAGGAUCGCAUUUGCGGUUAGAGAACAAGAGGUUGUUCGAUGCGUGAGAUUUGUAGUUUGUCUAAUUAUGUUUUGGUCGAUGUGGUGUACAUGGAUGUUUAAUUAUGUGUGGGUAUAAAAUGUUUGUUUAUACACCGUGGCAAGGUCGCAUUCAUGUUUU